GAAGCCUGAAAGAAAGUAGGUGAAAGGAAUGGAGUAAGCCGUCAAUCAGCAGUGGUGACCAGGCACCACCAGGGUCGGAGUAAAGUCAUGAAAAAGAGGAAAUCUCAUCUGACUGGAGGAAGUUACCAAAUAUGGGCAGCUUGAUGUUCCUGUGCGCAUCACCUGAGAUUGCCUGUGCACAAUCCCCAGUGAGGCCAGCAUCAUCACCCACGCAGAAGACAGACAGAAAUACAUUUGCCACCCCUGUCCGCUUCUGGAAAUGAAUCUACAUGGAGAUGCAGAAUAUAGUCUGAACUUGUACAGUUCUGUGUGUAGAGGCCAAAACUGUGGCAUGGUUGCUUGUGUGACACAUGAGAAUAUGCAAUUUCUGUUUUCACAUGGAACAUAUUUAUAUAUCAUAACACAUCUGGUCAGUGGGGACUGUAAUAGUACCAGCUUGUAAAGUGAUGGUGAGAGUUAACUAAGUGGUUGUGAGAGUUAACUAGGUGAUUGUGAGAGUUAACUAAGUGGUUGUGAGAGUUAACUAAGUGGUUAUGAGAGUUAACUAGGUGAUUGUGAGAGUUAACUAAGUGGUUGUGGGAGUUAACUAGGUGAUAGUGAGAGCUAACUAGGUGAUUAUGAGAGUUAACUAAGUGAUGGUGAAAGUUAACUAGGUGAUGGUGAAAGUUAU